GAUGAACGCUAGCUACAGGCUUAACACAUGCAAGUCGAGGGGAAACGACAUUGAAGCUUGCUUCGAUGGUCGUCGACCGGCGCACGGGUGAGUAACGCGUAUCCAACCUGCCUCUGACCAAGGGAUAACCCGUCGAAAGUCGGACUAAUACCUUAUGCAGUCGUCGGAAGUCAUCUGAUGACGACGAAAGAUUUCAUCGGUGAGAGAUGGGGAUGCGUCUGAUUAGCUUGUUGGCGGGGUAACGGCCCACCAAGGCUACGAUCAGUAGGGGUUCUGAGAGGAAGGUCCCCCACAUUGGAACUGAGACACGGUCCAAACUCCUACGGGAGGCAGCAGUGAGGAAUAUUGGUCAAUGGACGAGAGUCUGAACCAGCCAAGUAGCGUGCAGGAUGACGGCCCUAUGGGUUGUAAACUGCUUUUAUGCGGGGAUAAAGUGAGGGACGUGUCCCUCAUUGCAGGUAC
rnacentral:rRNA from 1 species